GGAGGGCAAUAGUAUUAGAGAGGGACAGCAACAGAUUUUAGUUCCACCUUUCUACCGCUACAUGGCGCUAGCAUUUUUGUUUCCAUAAAUCAAUGAAAUUUUUAUUUGCAAAAAAAACUAAUUAGGAGGAUUAAUUAAUAAAUUUUCAAAAUAUUCCUAAUUACAGUGAUGUUAGGAACGUAAUAUUUAACUUUUUGAGUUAGUGGUAAAUUAUUGGCAAUAUAAAUUGGUCAUUGGAAUAUUCUUGCAACAGUAACCUAUAAAAAAGUGUUUUGAGUGUAUCAGAUUGAAUUAAAGUUUUUUAUAAUUAUACUAAUUACUAAACGUGGGUGUAUAUGCAAUCUUAUAGGUUUGUCAUAGGGAUUUUGUGCAGCUAUUAUGUAUUAAUAAGAAUGUAGAGAACUUUUACACUUUAAAUUUAGAAAGUACUUCUUUACUUUAACAUUCAGUAAACAUUCUUCAGAUCUUUAUAAAAAUUACAUUCUCACAAGUGCAAGUUUACAUUAGAAUUCACAGUCAGACAAUUAUUAAAAUUAAUUCAAGAAAUAUCAAGGCAUGAAAUGGUACGCAAUGCACAAUAUACCAAGAAAUAUACAAAAUAUCCAAAGUAUAUUGUCAACAAUUUUCUACAAAGUUUCUAUUCUUUAAAUUGCAUUCUAGGAGCUGUAAAAUUGUAGUCUGUUCUCAAAGAAAGAAAACACUUGAAGAACUAGACAUGUUCCUCUGUAAUUCUUUUCCAAGUUAUCGUAGGUAUCUCUUCUUCGUCAAGUAAACGAACACAGAUCCUUCAGAUAAGCUAGAAGAGGAGCAGAUCGUUUAUUGCAAGGUGAUAAUGACUGUUUUGACAGCGGCUCGCGCUUCGACCAUCAUGAACUGUCCUGCCUCUUGCAGCCCCAUUGUCGCCGACACCAGAUUGGAAUCAAUAUUUACACUCAAGCCCGUGUAAGCUGUGGAUUACCAGAGGCUCAGCCGAUCCUUCCAACCCUUUCUUGAUUGAGUCAGCAUAGUCAGCCGGCCGUUUUGCUGAAAAAUUUCAGUUGAAAAGGGUCCCGUACGCGAUCUCGCUGCUAACCAACCUUUUACCAACCUACCUGAAACACUCUGUAUCCUCGGAAAAGAUUUUUUUUUGUGAUCGAUAACGAUUUCUCAAUUUCUUUCAUCUUCAGAAGCCAAGCUGAAGUUUGAAGCAAUUGUCAGGAAGCACUUGUGGUCGUUACCUUUUGAAAUUUGUCUUCAGAAUUUCAGUGGAAAUAAUUUCUUCUUUUGUCGAAAGACGUUGAAUGUUAAUUAUGCAGUUGGAUGAGAAGCGGAAAUGAUCCAGCUUGUGUUUACAGAACAUAUUAAAUAUGGAUUCACUUUGUGCAUUGAAAAUUAUAAAUAAUAAUCUACUCUGGAUGCUACAAAAAUUAUAGUUUAUAUGAUUUUUGAAUUGUUACAACAAAAUUCAGCGAUAUAUUAAUCAGUAAAAAUAAUCAUGGACGUUUACACAUUUAAAUUUUAGUACUCGAAGCGAGUCGAGAUCACUGGUACGCUUCUAAACGAUUUUUCACGCGUUCGAAGAGGGUUGCUUGAUCCAGGGGUUGGUAUUUAUACGGGGCGAGCGUCGAACAAUAUGAAAAUUCGUCAAUCGUUAUUGUAGCGUGUUCGACUGGAUAACGAUCGAGAUAUGUCGGUGCACGCGCGUGAAAGCUUCUCUAUUCGAGCCGUGGAUAAUUCGCAAUUGGAUUAUCGUGGCCGAUCUGGGAAUCCACGGUCGUUCUUUAAUUGAGUACAUAGAUAUAAGACAGGAAGAAUGAUGCCGGUUUGUUUCUCCCGGGUGGGAAAAAAUUGAAACAGUGAUUUGACAAAUUCGUAUAAUGGUGUUGUUAACGGUAAUAUUAGAACUUUUUUACGUUUAUAAAAUUGCUCAAUUGAUUACAUAUUAGAAUAAUUCGCAAUAAUCUGCAGUCCCCUGAUAAUUUGUGUGAAUAACAUUGAAGAUUAUUACACGUUGAGACGAAUAAAUUUUUAUUCAAAAUUAUAUUCAAAUACAUCAGUUCAACAUAAUUUAUAUAAAA